GAUGAACGCUGGCGGCGUGCCUAACACAUGCAAGUCGAGCGAACAGAUAAUGAGCUUGCUCCUUUGACGUUAGCGGCGGACGGGUGAGUAACACGUGGGUAACCUACUUAUAAGACUGGGAUAACUUCGGGAAACCGGAGCCAAUAACGGAUAACACUUGGAACCGCUUGGUUCUAAAGUGAAUGAUGGUUUUGCUGUCACUUAUAGAUGGUCCCGCGCCGGAUUAGCUAGUUGGUAAGGUAACGGCCUACCAAGGCGACGAUCCGUAGCCGACCUGAGAGGGUGAUCAGCCACACUGGAACUGAGACACGGUCCAGACUCCUACGGGAGGCAGCAGUAGGGAAUCUUCGGCAAUGGGCGAAAGCCUGACGGAGCAACGCCGCGUGGGUGAUGAAGGGUUUCGGGUCGUAAAGCUCUGUUAUUAGGAAAGAAAAGCUGUGUAAUUAACUCUGCACGUCUUGACGGUACCUAAACAGAAAGCCACGGCUAACUACGUG
rnacentral:rRNA from 1 species